GCUGCCCCAACCCUUUGUGUACCUACCUCUGUUGCUUUGGCGGGCCGCGGUCCUCCGCGGCCGCCCCCCUCCCCGGGGGGGUGGCCAGCGCCCGCCAGAGGACCAUCAAACUCCAGUCAGUAAACGAUGCAGUCUGAAAAACAUUUAAUAAACUAAAACUUUCAACAACGGAUCUCUUGGUUCUGGCAUCGAUGAAGAACGCAGCGAAAUGCGAUAAGUAAUGUGAAUUGCAGAAUUCAGUGAAUCAUCGAAUCUUUGAACGCACAUUGCGCCCUUUGGUAUUCCGAAGGGCAUGCCUGUUCGAGCGUCAUUACAACCCUCAAGCUCUGCUUGGUAUUGGGCACCGUCCUUUGCGGGCGCGCCUCAAAGACCUCGGCGGUGGCGUCUUGCCUCAAGCGUAGUAGAACAUACAUCUCGCUUCGGAGCGCAGGGCGUCGCCCGCCGGACGAACCUUCUGAACUUUUCUCAAGGUUGACCUCGGAUCAGGUAGGGAUACCCGCUGAACUUAAGCAUAUCAAUAAGCGGAGGAA
rnacentral:rRNA from 1 species